GGGCUUGCGGUAGUAUCGGCGAGUGAAGCGGCAACAGCUCAAAUUUGAAAGCUAGCCUUCGGGUUCGCAUUGUAAUUUGUAGAGGAUGCUUUGGGUAAAACGCCAGUCUAAGUUCCUUGGAACAGGACGUCAUAGAGGGUGAGAAUCCCGUAUGUGACUGGAAAUGUUAACCUAUGUAAAGCUCCUUCGACGAGUCGAGUUGUUUGGGAAUGCAGCUCUAAAUGGGAGGUAAAUUUCUUCUAAAGCUAAAUAUUGUCGAGAGACCGAUAGCGCACAAGUAGAGUGAUCGAAAGAUGAAAAGCACUUUGGAAAGAGAGUUCAACAGCACUUGAAAUUGUUGCAAGGGAAGCGCUUGCAAUCAGACUUGCUUUACACUGUUCGGCCGUAAGUUUUUCUGUCCGGUUUACUGGAGUUCUCGGACAGUCGAGACAUCAGUUUCGGCGGCCGGACUUAAACGGCGUUUUGAACUGUGGCCUUCCCUUCGAGUGGAGGUGUUAUAGCCCAAGUGUGUAAUACGUUCAGCCG
rnacentral:rRNA from 1 species